CUUAGUGGCGGACGGGUGAGUAACACGUGAGCAACCUGCCUUUGAGAGAGGGAUAGCUUCUGGAAACGGAUGGUAAUACCUCAUGACAUAAUUGAAGGGCAUCCUUUGAUUAUCAGAGAUUUAUCACUCAAAGAUGGGCUCGCGUCUGAUUAGAUAGUUGGUGAGGUAACGGCUCACCAAGUCGACGAUCAGUAGCCGGACUGAGAGGUUGAACGGCCACAUUGGGACUGAGACACGGCCCAGACUCCUACGGGAGGCAGCAGUGGGGAAUAUUGCACAAUGGGGGAAACCCUGAUGCAGCGAUGCCGCGUGGAGGAAGAAGGUUUUCGGAUUGUAAACUCCUGUCUUAAAGGACGAUAAUGACGGUACUUUAGGAGGAAGCUCCGGCUAACUACGUGCCAGCAGCCGCGGUAAUACGUAGGGAGCGAGCGUUGUCCGGAAUUACUGGGUGUAAAGGGAGCGUAGGCGGGAUUGCAAGUCAGAUGUGAAAUACAUGGGCUCAACCCAUGGGCUGCAUUUGAAACUGUAGUUCUUGAGUGAAGUAGAGGUAAGUGGAAUUCCCAGUGUAGCGGUGAAAUGCGUAGAUAUUGGGAGGAACACCAGUGGCGAAGGCGGCUUACUGGACGAUGACUGACGUUGAGGCUCGAAAGCGUGGGGAGCAAACAGGAUUAGAUACCCUGGUAGUCCACGCCGUAAACGAUGACUACUAGGUGUCGGGGAGCAAAGUUUUUCGGGUGCCGCAGCAAACGCAUAAAGUAGUCCACCUGGGGAGACCGUUCCCAAGAAAUGAACUCCAAAGGAAUUGAGGGGGACCCGCACAAGCGGUGGAGCAUGUUGGUUUUAAUUCGAAGGCAACGCGAAGAACUUUACCUGCUCUUGACAUCCCGGUGACCGGCGUGUAAUGCGGCCUUUUCUUCGGAACACCGGGAGACAGGUGGUGCAUGGUUGUCGUCAGCUCGUGUCGUGAGAUGUUGGGUUAAGUCCCGCAACGAGCGCAACCCUUAUCUUCAGUAGCCAGCAUUUUGGAUGGGCACUCUGGAGAGACUGCCAGGGAUAACCUGGAGGAAGGUGGGGAUGACGUCAAAUCAUCAUGCCCCUUAUGAGCAGGGCUACACACGUGCUACAAUGGCGUAAACAAAGGGAAGCGAACCUGCGAGGGUAAGCAAAUCUCAAAAAUAACGUCUCAGUUCGGAUUGUAGUCUGCAACUCGACUACAUGAAGCUGCCAUCGAGGGUAAUCGCGAAUCAGCAUGUCGCGGUGAAUA
rnacentral:rRNA from 1 species